rnacentral:rRNA from 1 species
UAANGCGUGGGUAACCUGCCNCACACUGGGGGAUAACAGUUAGAAAUAGCUGCUAAUACCGCAUAAGCGCACAGUUCCGCAUGGAACGGUGUGAAAAACUCCGGUGGUGUGAGAUGGAUCCGCGUCUGAUUAGGUAGNUGGUGAGGCAACGGCCCACCAAGCCGACGAUCAGUAGCCGACCUGAGAGGGUGACCGGCCACAUUGGGACUGAGACACGGCCCAAACUCCUACGGGAGGCAGCAGUGGGGAAUAUUGCACAAUGGGCGAAAGCCUGAUGCAGCAACGCCGCGUGAGUGAAGAAGUAUCUCGGUAUGUAAAGCUCUAUCANCAGGGAAGAAAAUGACGGUACCUGACUAAGAAGCCCCGGCUAACUACGUGCCAGCAGCCGCGGUAAUACGUAGGGGGCAAGCGUUAUCCGGAUUUACUGGGUGUAAAGGGAGCGCAGACGGCACUGCAAGUCUGAAGUGAAAGCCCGGGGCUCAACCCCGGGACUGCUUUGGAAACUGUAGAGCUAGAGUGCUGGAGAGGCAAGCGGAAUUCCUAGUGUAGCGGUGAAAUGCGUAGAUAUUAGGAAGAACACCAGUGGCGAGGGCGGCUUGCUGGACAGUAACUGACGUUCAGGCUCGAAAGCGUGGNGAGCAAACAGGAUUAGAUACCCUGGUAGUCCACGCCGUAACGAUGAAUACUANGUGU